GAUGAACGCUGGCGGCGUGCUUAACACAUGCAAGUCGAACGAUAAAGCCCAGCUUGCUGGGUGGAUUAGUGGCGAACGGGUGAGUAACACGUGAGUAACCUGCCCUUGACUCUGGGAUAAGCCCGGGAAACUGGGUCUAAUACCGGAUAGGAGCGCCUGUCGCAUGACGGGUGUUGGAAAGAUUUUUCGGUCAUGGAUGGACUCGCGGCCUAUCAGCUUGUUGGUGAGGUAAUGGCUCACCAAGGCGACGACGGGUAGCCGGCCUGAGAGGGUGACCGGCCACACUGGGACUGAGACACGGCCCAGACUCCUACGGGAGGCAGCAGUGGGGAAUAUUGCACAAUGGGCGGAAGCCUGAUGCAGCGACGCCGCGUGAGGGAUGACGGCCUUCGGGUUGUAAACCUCUUUCAGUA
rnacentral:rRNA from 1 species